AAGGGAGCUUGCUCCCUCGAUUCAGCGGCGGACGGGUGAGUAAUGCCUAGGAAUCUGCCUGGUAGUGGGGGACAACGUUUCGAAAGGAACGCUAAUACCGCAUACGUCCUACGGGAGAAAGCAGGGGACCUUCGGGCCUUGCGCUAUCAGAUGAGCCUAGGUCGGAUUAGCUAGUUGGUGAGGUAAUGGCUCACCAAGGCUGCGAUCCGUAACUGGUCUGAGAGGAUGAUCAGUCACACUGGAACUGAGACACGGUCCAGACUCCUACGGGAGGGCAGCAGUGGGGAAUAUUGGACAAUGGGCGAAAGCCUGAUCCAGCCAUGCCGCGUGUGUGAAGAAGGUCUUCGGAUUGUAAAGCACUUUAAGUUGGGAGGAAGGGCAGUAAGUUAAUACCUUGCUGUUUUGACGUUACCGACAGAAUAAGCACCGGCUAACUUCGUGCCAGCAGCCGCGGUAAUACGAAGGGUGCAAGCGUUAAUCGGAAUUACUGGGCGUAAAGCGCGCGUAGGUGGUUUGUUAAGUUGGAAGUGAAAGCCCCGGGCUCAACCUGGGAACUGCUUUCAAAACUGGCAAGCUAGAGUAUGGCAGAGGGUGGUGGAAUUUCCUGUGUAGCGGUGAAAUGCGUAGAUAUAGGAAGGAACACCAGUGGCGAAGGCGACCACCUGGGCUAAUACUGACACUGAGGUGCGAAAGCCGUGGGGAGCAAAACAGGAUUAGAUACCCUGGUAGUCCACGCCGUAAACGAUGUCGACUAGCCGUUGGGAUCCUUGAGAUCUAAGUGGCGCAGCUAACGCAUUAAAGUCGACCGCCUGGGGAGUACGGCCGCAAGGUUAAAACUCAAAUGAAUUGACGGGGGCCCGCACAAGCGGUGGAGCAUGUGGUUUAAUUCGAAGCAACGCGAAGAACCUUACCAGGCCUUGACAUGCAGAGAACUUUCCAGAGAUGGAUUGGUGGCUUCGGGAGCUCUGACACAGGUGCUGCAUGGCUGUCGUCAGCUCGUGUCGUGAGAUGUUGGGUUAAGUCCCGUAACGAGCGCAACCCUUGUCCUUAGUUACCAGCACGUAAUGGUGGGCACUCUAAGGAGACUGCCGGUGACAAACCGGAGGAAGGUGGGGAUGACGUCAAGUCAUCAUGGGCCUUACGGCCUGGGCUACACACGUGCUACAAUGGUCGGUACAAAGGGUUGCCAAGCCGCGAGGUGGAGCUAAUCCCAUAAAUCCGAUCGUAGUCCGGAUCGCAGUCUGCAACUCGACUGCGUGAAGUCGGAAUCGCUAGUAAUCGUGAAUCAGAAUGUCACGGUGAAUACGUUCCCGGGCCUUGUACACACCGCCCGUCACACCAUGGGAGUGGGUUGCUCCAGAAGUAGCUAGUCUAACCUUCGGGAGG
rnacentral:rRNA from 1 species